rnacentral:rRNA from 1 species
CCUACGGGAGGCAGCAGUGAGGAAUAUUGGUCAAUGGGCGCAAGCCUGAACCAGCCAAGUAGCGUGCAGGAUGACGGCCCUCCGGGUUGUAAACUGCUUUUAGUUGGGAAUAAAUGGCGGGACGCGUCCCGCUUUGCAUGUACCAUCAGAAAAAGGACCGGCUAAUUCCGUGCCAGCAGCCGCGGUAAUACGGAAGGUCCGGGCGUUAUCCGGAUUUAUUGGGUUUAAAGGGAGCGCAGGCGGGCUUUUAAGUCAGUUGUGAAAUACGGCGGCUCAACCGUCGGACUGCAGUUGAUACUGGAAGCCUUGAGUUCACACAGGGAUGCCGGAAUUCAUGGUGUAGCGGUGAAAUGCUCAGAUAUCAUGAAGAACCCCGAUCGCGAAGGCAGGCAUCCGGGGUGUUACUGACGCUGAGGCUCGAAAGUGCGGGUAUCAAACAGGAUUAGAUACCCUGGUAGUCCGCACAGUAAACGAUGGACACUCGCAGUCGGCGAUAUACAGUCGGCUGCCAAGCGAAAGCGUUAAGUGUCCCACCUGGGGAGUACGCCGGCAACGGUGAAACUCAAAGGAAGU